AUUGAACGCUGGCGGCAUGCCUUACACAUGCAAGUCGAACGGCAGCGGACCUUCGGGUGCCGGCGAGUGGCGAACGGGUGAGUAAUAUAUCGGAACGUACCUUUCAGUGGGGGAUAACGUAGCGAAAGUUACGCUAAUACCGCAUAUUCUGUGAGCAGGAAAGCAGGGGAUCGCAAGACCUUGCGCUGAUUGAGCGGCCGAUAUCAGAUUAGCUAGUUGGUGAGGUAAAGGCUCACCAAGGCGACGAUCUGUAGCGGGUCUGAGAGGAUGAUCCGCCACACUGGAACUGAGACACGGUCCAGACUCCUACGGGAGGCAGCAGUGGGGAAUUUUGGACAAUGGGCGCAAGCCUGAUCCAGCCAUGCCGCGUGAGUGAAGAAGGCCUUCGGUUGUAAGGACUCGUUUCGGUCCGGGAAGAAAGUACGGCACACGGUUAAUAACCC
rnacentral:rRNA from 1 species